CACACACACACACACACACACACACACACACACACACACACAGAGCAAUGUCAGGGUUAGCUGAUGUCUGUGAGUCAACACAAUCUUACAUUUGCUCAGCAACCGGUGUGUUCUUGUGCGGAUUGAACCUAGGAUUUGUAACUGGCUGGUGAUGCAGAGUGGAAAACGGAAUCACUGUAAACAGAGCAUGAGGAAACUCUUCGUGCGCUGAUGCAGAAUAAUCUCGUGGAGACCGAACAUGGUUAAGUGAAACAAGGAUGUGUGGAGAAUGAAUUGAGAUAGGAAGAUCAGCUAAGAAGCAAUAGCGGUGAUUCAGGUAAGAAUGAAUGGGACUCAAAUUAGGGCAGUAGCUGUGGGAAUACAAGGAGGGGAUACACAGGAGGGGAAGAUGGUGACCACCGGGACCACCCUCGAGUUCGAGGGUAAGGGAGGCAGGGAGGAUGUAAGGGUCCCCAAGACGGGGUAUGAAAAGGAAGAAGUUUGCAGGAAGACAAUGAGCUUAGCUUGGGACCUGUAGUUAUUUGGGGCUUGCAGAAGAUUCCGGAAUCCUUUAGGGAUUUGUUGGAUGCUGAGUCUAGGGAUGGGGAAGCGGUCUGGGCCACAGGGAUUUGGGAGCCUUGCCCUGGGCAGGGGCAGAUGAAAGUCCAAGGUAGAGCGUGGAGUGGAAUGACAGGGACACCCAGGCCAAACCCAGGCACUCCCCCCACCCAGUCCCAUUCAGGAGACACCAAGAGGAAGGCGAUUCUGUAAACGAUUAAGAGGAGUCAGAACGGGGACCCAGGGAGUCUUACGAGGGCUUGGUUUGGAUUUUGACACAAGGUGUUGCUGUGCCGCCCAGGCCCAAGGGGUCCUCCCUCUUCACCCCCAGGUCACUGGGACUUCGGCCUGCACCGCUGCGCCCAUCCAGGUCUCGGCACACAGUGGAGCCGCCCGCCCUCGGAAACAGCACCCAGACGGGCGAGCAGAGCGCUUCCCAUCCAGAGCUGGUCUGCAGCCCUCGCUGUGCCCUCCAUCCACCUCCUCGAGGACUCCACUUCGCUCUGCCAGUUUGAGGUCCUAGUUCAUCCAAGCUGGGAUCCCCACGGAGAACCAUGGGGACAGGAGGGGAGAGGAAGGCUCAGAGAUAGAAGCACACACCAAGCACCCAUGGGCAUCAGCAGCCCUCACAACCCUUAAGUACUGACAACACAUAGGAAUGGUUAUGGCCCCUCAGGCAUCUGCAAACAAGGCGGAGCUGUGAGGAGUUGGGUGGACACUGGGCAGCAGGGAGGGCCAGGCCACUCCACCGCACAUGCAGUGCUCAGAGCUGAGAAGAGCCCAUCGCAUCCCACCACCCAAACUUGCACUCGGAGGCCAUCUGCUCACACUUAACCUAAUCACUCCAGACAGUUUUUCUGAAAAGCGUCAUGAAGACCUUCAGCAUGAAGCACCCACCAGUGCCUUAAACUCCUGCCCCAGGGCUAAAUCACACCAUGAGAGCUUCUCUUCUUCUCCCAGCACACGCAAGGUCCUGAGUUGGAUCCCUAUGACCAUCAAAUCAAAAUAGCUGGCCUCAGACGGUUUCCAGUGGCUCAUCCUGCCCGGAGCACAGACACUAAAUGUUAACAUCCAGUUGUCUGCACUUAGCUCCUGGUGCCAGGUGACUGCCCCAGGGCUCCCUCUGGGAGUGAUUGUCUUUUCUUCAAUGAUGCCAGUCAACCACCUGGCAAAACAUCAUGCUGGUGACAGGAAAGGGAAUUCACUUCAUUCCUCCAGCAUGGAUGGAGGACCCACGACCGAACACCAGACCUGGGCCAGAGCCUGCGGCGUGGAGCUGAGUAAUCAACCCCUGCCCACUGGGGAUUCUCAGGUCUGGGGGGAGAGGCAGACAUGAAAACAAACACGUCCUGUACAGUGCCAUUAGUCUUGUACCAGCCGCCUCGGGAGCCCAGAGUAACGAACACCAUCUGGGGGGUUCCCAGGGGACUCAGGGAAGGCCUUACUGCACGGGUGCCUCUGAGCGGAGGUCUGCAAGGAUGACUGAAAGCUUCCAAGCAGGAUAAGACAAGGGAAAGAAUUAAUUCUCCUCAGAAGGAACCACCUGUGGAAAAGCAGAGAGGUGAAGAAGGACACGGCGUGUCUCAGAAACAAACGGCAAGGUAGCAGAGGUCCAGACAGGAGCCCAAGCAAGUAAAGUGGGCAACUUCACCCCAGCCAUCGCCCCUCAGAGCUCUAGCUCCACAGCUCCUGUGUAAGCAGUGUUAUCUUUCUAUGUAGAGAUCAUGUCUGUUGUGUGGGUGUUCCAGGUCCACGAUUAUAAGGUACUGAUACAAACUGUCAUCUCAAGGAAUCCAAGUCUUAUGUUUGAAAAAGCCACUGGAAGGGUCAUCUGAAUCUUUAAGCAGUUGUGAUACUCUGAAAUGUGAUUGCUGACUGGAACUGUGAAGAACCUGAUACUUGACAGAGGGGGAACCAGGCCUCAGAGAAGUGAAGGGGCCACCCACCCUCAACAUGGCGGGAUAAGCCACACCCAGCUCUCCAUACCAACCAUGCCAAACUUCCUUUCCUUCCUUUUUCCCCUUCAGGUGCCCGGGCCAGUGUUCUUCACUCAAUGGACACACAAUAAUUCUGAUUAUUUUAUCCUCUCCAGAAAAAAAUAAAAAUAAAAAUUAGUCAUAGGGCUUGACUGAACUUUCUAGAAACUUCCAGAACCAAUUCUUUCCCAUGUAAGCACUUGCUACGCAUAGGCAAAAUGAAUUGAAGCUUCUCAGAGAACUCCAGGAUAAGUUGGUCUCAUAUUCACAAGCCUUAUGCACAAGCCUUAUAA
ensembl:lncRNA